UACGUAGGGUGCGAGCGUUGUCCGGAAUUAUUGGGCGUAAAGAGCUCGUAGGCGGUUUGUCGCGUCUGCUGUGAAAACCCGAGGCUCAACCUCGGGCCUGCAGUGGGUACGGGCAGACUAGAGUGCGGUAGGGGAGAUUGGAAUUCCUGGUGUAGCGGUGGAAUGCGCAGAUAUCAGGAGGAACACCGAUGGCGAAGGCAGAUCUCUGGGCCACUACUGACGCUGAGAAGCGAAAGCAUGGGGGAGCGAACAGG
rnacentral:rRNA from 1 species